GACGAACGCUGGCGGCGUGCCUAAUACAUGCAAGUAGAACGCUGAAGAGAGGAGCUUGCUCUUCUUGGAUGAGUUGCGAACGGGUGAGUAACGCGUAGGUAACCUGCCUUGUAGCGGGGGAUAACUAUUGGAAACGAUAGCUAAUACCGCAUAACAAUGGAUGACACAUGUCAUUUAUUUGAAAGGGGCAAUUGCUCCACUACAAGAUGGACCUGCGUUGUAUUAGCUAGUAGGUGAGGUAAUGGCUCACCUAGGCGACGAUACAUAGCCGACCUGAGAGGGGGGUCGGCGAAACACAGAAGGAGACAGGGCACAGAGGCCGACGGAAGGCAGCAGUGGGGAGACUUCAGGAAGGGGUGCGGACCUGACGGGGCAAGGCAGCGUGAGGAAGGAAGGUUUGCGGAUCGUGUAGCACUGUUGUAAGUCAAGAAAGGGAGGGAGAGUGGAAAGUUCACACUGUGACGGUAGCUGACAAGAAAGGGGAGGCUAACUAGGAG
rnacentral:rRNA from 1 species